rnacentral:rRNA from 1 species
CAUGCUAUCGGAUGCGCCUACGUGGGAUUAGCUAGUUGGUGAGGUAAUGGCUCACCAAGGCGACGAUCUCUAGCUGGUUUGAGAGGAUGAUCAGCCACACUGGAACUGAGACACGGUCCAGACUCCUACGGGAGGCAGCAGUGGGGAAUAUUGGACAAUGGGCGCAAGCCUGAUCCAGCCAUGCCGCGUGUGUGAAGAAGGCCUUCGGGUUGUAAAGCACUUUCAGCGAGGAGGAAGGGUUGUGUGUUAAUAGUGCACAGCCUUGACGUUACUCGCAGAAGAAGCACCGGCUAACUCUGUGCCAGCAGCCGCGGUAAUACAGAGGGUGCAAGCGUUAAUCGGAAUUACUGGGCGUAAAGCGCACGUAGGCGGUUUUUUAAGUCAGAUGUGAAAGCCCCGGGCUCAACCUGGGAAUUGCAUUUGAAACUGGAAAACUAGAGUGUGUGAGAGGGGGGUAGAAUUCCAAGUGUAGCGGUGAAAUGCGUAGAGAUUUGGAGGAAUACCAGUGGCGAAGGCGGCCCCCUGGCACAACACUGACGCUCAGGUGCGAAAGCGUGGGGAGCAAACAGGAUUAGAU